CGCCUAACACAUGCAAGUCGAGCGAUAUAGCGGCGAACGGGUGAGUAACACGUUGGAACAUGCCCCGAACUCAGGGAUAGCCAUCCGAAAGGGUGAUUAAUACCGGAUAGUCUCCGAUUUUACAUCGGAGUAAAGAUUUUCGGUUCGGGAGUGGCCUGCGGCCUAUCAGCUUGUUGGUAGUGUAAUAGACUACCAAGGCUAUGACGGGUAUCUGGUGUGAGAGCAUGACCAGACACAAUGGAACUGAGACACGGUCCAUACUCC
rnacentral:rRNA from 1 species